UACGAGGGGUGCAAGCGUUGCUCGGAAUUAUUGGGCGUAAAGGGUAGGUAGGUGGUCUCAUUUGUCUGGGGUGAAAGCCUUGAGCUUAACUCAAGAAGUGCCCUAGAAACGGUGAGACUGGAGUCUUGGAGAGGGUCGUGGAAUUCCCGGUGUAGUGGUGAAAUGCGUAGAGAUCCGGAGGAACCCCAGAGGCGAAGGCGGCGCCCUGGCUCGCAACUGACGCUCAGACACGACAGCAUGGGGAGCGAACGGG
rnacentral:rRNA from 1 species